GCAGCCGUGACUGACUGGUUACGGUGUUCGCUUGUAAGCGAAAGAUCCUGGGUUCGAUUCCCAUCUGCUCCA
rnacentral:tRNA from 1 species